rnacentral:tRNA from 1 species
GGAAGGGGUGGGGAAGAUCCCUUCUGCCUUUCCCGAGGGGAGCUCCGGAGGUUCCAGUUCUCCUGCCUUUCAC